AACGAAUAUUCCGCAAUGGGCGAAAGCCUGACGGAGCGACGCCGCGUGCAGGAUGAAGUCUUUCGGGAUGUAAACUGCUGUCGGGGGUCAGAAAUUCUGAUCAGCCCCACAGGAAGCCUCGGCUAACUCCGUGCCAGCAGCCGCGGUAAUACGGAGGAGGCAAGCGUUGUUCGGAAUCACUGGGCUUAAAGGGCAGGUAGGCGGAAAUGUAAGUCAGAUGUCAAAGACCGAAGCUCAACUUCGGGUCGGCAUUUGAUACUGUGUUUCUUGAAUCAGUUGGGAGAAGAUGGAAUUCCAGGUGUAGCGGUGGAAUGCGCAGAUAUCUGGAGGAACACCAAUAGCGAAGGCAAUCUUCUGCGACAUGAUUGACGCUAAACUGCGAAGGUGCGGGGAUCAAACA
rnacentral:rRNA from 1 species